rnacentral:lncRNA from 1 species
UAAUCAGAGGAGGGCAACAUGUUCUGGAUCUCAACUUCAUGAGAGAGAACAAGCACAAAAUCUGAGCUUGUAAGGCCUCCAGCCAGGCCUCUCCUUGCUGCUGUGCUCAUCUUGUUGGCUGUGAGUCUCCCGCGGGGAGAAGAAAUUAACAUGAGGAGUUCAUAACAUAGCUAAGUUUGUUUGGUUCCAUUUAAAUGAUGGUUUUAAAUAUCCAGGAAUACAGAGGACAAACAUUCUUUAAGAA